rnacentral:rRNA from 1 species
UACGGAGGGGGCUAGCGUUGUUCGGAAUUACUGGGCGUAAAGCGCGCGUAGGUGGUUUGUUAAGUUGGAUGUGAAAUCCCCGGGCUCAACCUGGGAACUGCAUUCAAAACUGACAAGCUAGAGUAUGGUAGAGGGUGGUGGAAUUUCCUGUGUAGCGGUGAAAUGCGUAGAUAUAGGAAGGAACACCAGUGGCGAAGGCGACCACCUGGACUGAUACUGACACUGAGGUGCGAAAGCGUGGGGAGCAAACAGG